AUGAACGUGUUCCGACUUGAAUCUCGCGUUGCUGCCGUCAUAGAUUAUCUCGCAAGGAUGAAGGUCACAACUUCCCGCAUCGACACAACACUCUGGCCAAGAGAGACACUCCAGAGCGACCUCGAGUCUCUGAUGACUCGACUGAACGAGGUCCCAAGUCGAGUGCAAGAGUGGAAGAAGUCUUCGGCCAGGAGCGGCGCGGAUGUUGCUCUGUCUCUGGUCCGCGUUCACUGCAAGGAUGCACGAGAGGACAAGUUGGUGGCUCUCAGGGUGGCCAACACCAAGAAGCACGAUUUCAGAUCUUUCAUGGAGACCUUCAUCGCCGCUGCCACUCCGAUUGCAGAUGGAAUUGAUCUGGACGAGUUUGUGGCACCUUCUAGCCCUCCACAGGAGGGGUAA
rnacentral:rRNA from 1 species